AUGGUCAGUGCCAAGAGAAUUGCUCAACUAGCAAAGAAGUGGCAAAGGGUAGCAUACCUCAGCAGGAAGCAGCUUACCAUGACGGCGACAAAAGAAGCCGAAGGGUGCUCAAUGGCAGUGGCAGGCAAGAGCCACUGUGUCAUGUACACAACUGAUGACGAGAGGCGGUUUGAGGUGCCAUUGGCGUACCUUGGCACGAUGAUCUUCAGAGAGCUCAUCCAUAUGUCUCAGGAGGAGUUUGGUCUUGUAAGCGGUGAUGGCAGAAUGAUGUUGCCCUGUGAUGCCACGGUGACGGAAUACAUUAUGAGCUUGCUUGGAAGAAAUGCUUCAGUGGAGGUUGAGAAGGCAUUCUUGAGCUCCAUGGCGAUGCCAUGCCACCAUACAAGCUGCGUAGCACCAUCUCCGGGUGUUAACCAACAAAUGGCUGUUUGCGGCUCCUAG
rnacentral:rRNA from 1 species